rnacentral:rRNA from 1 species
UACGUAGGGUGCGAGCGUUAAUCGGAAUUACUGGGCGUAAAGCGUGCGCAGGCGGUUUUGUAAGCCAGAUGUGAAAUCCCCGGGCUUAACCUGGGAAUGGCAUUUGGGACUGCAAGGCUUGAGUGCGGCAGAGGAGACUGGAAUUCCUGGUGUAGCAGUGAAAUGCGUAGAUAUCAGGAGGAACACCGAUGGCGAAGGCAGGUCUCUGGCUGGACACUGACGCUCAUGCACGAAAGCGUGGGGAGCG